rnacentral:rRNA from 1 species
GAAAAGCACUUUGAAGAGAGAGUUCAAUAGACCGUGAAACCGUUGGGAGGGAAGCUCAGGGUGUCGAGGUUGUCGUGCUCUGUCUAAGUUCAGCCGGUGGUGUCGGGGUUGCCUUACGCUGCUGGUGCAUUCUUGGGCGGAGUUGGACCGUCAGUUGGGAAGAGGCCGGGACCUGUUUGUCGGCGGUCGGGAGGUACGCCUUGGACCUCCUUUGGGGUUCAAGGUGACGUAUAGCCGUUCCGUCGUGGUCCCGGUGUCUCUUUCAGGUGCGUUGGAUGUCUGAUCGUCCAGAACAGUAAGAUGCAGUCUCUCUUUCGUGGGGGACCGGGCCCGUUUGGCAGUCGCGAUGCGUUGGUGAGCCGUGUUCCGUUCUCUCUCCGUUUAGCUUCGGCUUGCGGGGCAAGAGUGCGGCACGUCACUCCAGCGACGUUGUCCUGUCCAGGCGGUGUUCCAAGUUGUCUGCGUCGAGGCGACUGGCGAAGAGUCGUUACCCUGUGCCCCGUCUUGAAACACGGACCAAGGAGUGCAAGAGAUGCGCAAGUCGGAAGGGUUGUGACGGGGGUUGCCUCUAGGGGCUUCCUCCUCCCCGAAAGACCCAUGUGUUUAUGGAACGGGCGAAGUGAGAGCAAUUCAUGGGUGCGAGAGCCCGGGGGAGACCCUGGGCGCAUCGCUGGCCGAGCCGUAUGGUCACGCUGUGGCCGGUUUCGAGUGCGAGCGUAUCUGUUGCGACCCGAAAGAUGGUGAACUAUGCCUGAGGAGGGUGAAGCCAGAGGAAACUCUGGUGGAGGCCCGUAGCGGUUCUGACGUGCAAAUCGAUCGUCGCACUUGGGUAUAGGGGCGAAAGACUAAUCGAACC